AGCAUAUCAAUAAGCGGAGGAAAAGAAACCCAACCGGGAUUGCCUUAGUAACGGCGAGUGAAGCGGCAAAAGCUCAAAUUUGAAAUCUGGUACCUUCGGUGCCCGAGUUGUAAUUUGGAGAGGGCAACUUUGGGGCCGUUCCUUGUCUAUGUUCCUUGGAACAGGACGUCAUAGAGGGUGAGAAUCCCGUGUGGCGAGGAGUGCGGUUCUUUGUAAAGUGCCUUCGAAGAGUCGAGUUGUUUGGGAAUGCAGCUCUAAGUGGGUGGUAAAUUCCAUCUAAAGCUAAAUAUUGGCGAGAGACCGAUAGCGAACAAGUACAGUGAUGGAAAGAUGAAAAGAACUUUGAAAAGAGAGUGAAAAAGUACGUGAAAUUGUUGAAAGGGAAGGGCAUUUGAUCAGACAUGGUGUUUUGUGCCCUCUGCUCCUUGUGGGUAGGGGAAUCUCGCAUUUCACUGGGCCAGCAUCAGUUUUGGUGGCAGGAUAAAUCCAUAGGAAUGUAGCUUGCCUCGGUAAGUAUUAUAGCCUGUGGGAAUACUGCCAGCUGGGACUGAGGACUGCGACGUAAGUCAAGGAUGCUGGCAUAAUGGUUAUAUGCCGCCCGUCUUGAAACACGGACCAAGGAGUCUAACGUCUAUGCGAGUGUUUGGGUGUAAAACCCAUACGCGUAAUGAAAGUGAACGUAGGUUGGGGCCUCGCAAGAGGUGCACAAUCGACCGAUCCUGAUGUCUUCGGAUGGAUUUGAGUAAGAGCAUAGCUGUUGGGACCCGAAAGAUGGUGAACUAUGCCUGAAUAGGGUGAAGCCAGAGGAAACUCUGGUGGAGGCUCGUAGCGGUUCUGACGUGCAAAUCGAUCGUCGAAUUUGGGUAUAGGGGCGAAAGACUAAUCGAACCAUCUAGUAGCUGGUUCCUGCCGAG
rnacentral:rRNA from 1 species